CUCUUUUUUUGUUGGCGCUUAGUGGCGGCGGCGAUUGUGUUGGUGUAAAGGUGUCCUUGACUUUGAUUGCCAUAAUUCUUUACCUCACAAAUCCGAACACCUCAGCUGAAGUCGCCUCAAAUGGAUCAAUGCAAGGAAAAACGAGAUGCGGUGGAAGUGAAUGCUGCUGUUGUUGAUGUUGACGAUGUUUCUUCUCCAAAAGCUAAGGAAAAAGAGAGUGUGGAUUUGGAAGCAGAGUCACUUCUGGCCAUGGCAGUGAUUAGGAAACAGCUGAAUGGGAUCCACAUUGAUUCAAACCAUCACAAUUGGAGCCCUCAAACACCUAACAUCGGUGUUUUUGACCCUUUUGCUCCUGCUUCUGAGGACAUGGUGCGAGCACCCCAGUCUCGCAAGUAUCACGAAGAAAUGAGGAACAAUAUUACUCGCAAACUUCUAUUUAGUUCUGCCAAUCAGCAUCAAGAUGAAUCUGUUUCAGAGUAAAAGCUAUUGCAGGAAGUUUUUCUUUUGUAUAAUUUUACAGGGAACAAUUUGCAUUUGACCAAAGCUAAUAAAUAGAUGUAACAUUAGCAGUAGCAGCAAUACUAUAAAGUACACUACUAUUGAUGUUAGAUUGUUUUACAAUGAACUGCAUUCUAGUUUAAUGGAAUAAUUUCUGUGUUUGUUAAAUCAGCUUUAAUGUUUUUGUUAUCAUAUGGAUUUUGUGCUUUUUAAUAAAGCUUUUCUGCUAUU